ACGGGUGAGUAAUGCCUAGGAAUCUGCCUGGUAGUGGGGGAUAACGUUCGGAAACGGACGCUAAUACCGCAUACGUCCUACGGGAGAAAGCAGGGGACCUUCGGGCCUUGCGCUAUCAGAUGAGCCUAGGUCGGAUUAGCUAGUUGGUGGGGUAAUGGCUCACCAAGGCGACGAUCCGUAACUGGUCUGAGAGGAUGAUCAGUCACACUGGAACUGAGACACGGUCCAGACUCCUACGGGAGGCAGCAGUGGGGAAUAUUGGACAAUGGGCGAAAGCCUGAUCCAGCCAUGCCGCGUGUGUGAAGAAGGUCUUCGGAUUGUAAAGCACUUUAAGUUGGGAGGAAGGGUUGUAGAUUAAUACUCUGCAAUUUUGACGUUACCGACAGAAUAAGCACCGGCUAACUCUGUGCCAGCAGCCGCGGUAAUACAGAGGGUGCAAGCGUUAAUCGGAAUUACUGGGCGUAAAGCGCGCGUAGGUGGUUUGUUAAGUUGGAUGUGAAAUCCCCGGGCUCAACCUGGGAACUGCAUUCAAAACUGACUGACUAGAGUAUGGUAGAGGGUGGGUGGGAUUUCCUGUGUAGCGG
rnacentral:rRNA from 1 species